rnacentral:rRNA from 1 species
UUAAAUUGAAGAGUUUGAUCAUGGCUCAGAUUGAACGCUGGCGGCAGGCUUAACACAUGCAAGUCGAACGGUAGCAGGAAGGAAGCUUGCUUUCUUUGCUGACGAGUGGCGGACGGGUGAGUAAUGCUUGGGGAUCUGGCUUAUGGAGGGGGAUAACGACGGGAAACUGUCGCUAAUACCGCGUAAUGUCUAAGGACUAGAGGGUGGGACUUUCGGGCCACCUGCCAUAAGAUGAGCCCAAGUGGGAUUAGGUAGUUGGUGGGGUAAAGGCCUACCAAGCCGACGAUCUCUAGCUGGUCUGAGAGGAUGACCAGCCACACUGGAACUGAGACACGGUCCAGACUCCUACGGGAGGCAGCAGUGGGGAAUAUUGCACAAUGGGGGGAACCCUGAUGCAGCCAUGCCGCGUGAAUGAAGAAGGCCUUCGGGUUGUAAAGUUCUUUCGGUGAUGAGGAAGGGUGAUGUUUUAAUAGAACAUUACAUUGACGUUAGUCACAGAAGAAGCACCGGCUAACUCCGUGCCAGCAGCCGCGGUAAUACGGAGGGUGCGAGCGUUAAUCGGAAUGACUGGGCGUAAAGGGCACGCAGGCGGUGACUUAAGUGAGAUGUGAAAGCCCCGAGCUUAACUUGGGAAUUGCAUUUCAUACUGGGUGGCUAGAGUAUUUUAGGGAGGGGUAGAAUUCCACGUGUAGCGGUGAAAUGCGUAGAGAUGUGGAGGAAUACCGAAGGCGAAGGCAGCCCCUUGGGAAAAUACUGACGCUCAUGUGCGAAAGCGUGGGGAGCAAACAGGAUUAGAUACCCUGGUAGUCCACGCUGUAAACGCUGUCGAUUUGGGGAUUGGGCUUUAUGUUUGGUGCCCGUAGCUAACGUGAUAAAUCGACCGCCUGGGGAGUACGGCCGCAAGGUUAAAACUCAAAUGAA